UCGAGCGGCGCGCGGGGGCAACCCUGGCGGCGAGCGGCGAACGGGUGAGUAAUAUAUCGGAACGUGCCCAGUCGUGGGGGAUAACGUAGCGAAAGCUACGCUAAUACCGCAUACGAUCUAUGGAUGAAAGCGGGGGAUCGCAAGACCUCGCGCGAUUGGAGCGGCCGAUAUCAGAUUAGCUAGUUGGUGGGGUAAAGGCCCACCAAGGCGACGAUCUAUAGCUGGUCUGAGAGGACGACCAGCCACACUGGAACUGAGACACGGUCCAGACUCCUACGGGAGGCAGCAGUGGGGAAUUUUGGACAAUGGGCGCAAGCCUGAUCCAGCAAUGCCGCGUGCAGGACGAAGGCCUUCGGGUUGUAAACUGCUUUUGUACGGAACGAAAAGGUCUGCCCUAAUACGGCGGGCUCAUGACGGUACCGUAAGAAUAAGCACCGGCUAACUACGUGCCAGCAGCCGCGGUAAUACGUAGGGUGCAAGCGUUAAUCGGAAUUACUGGGCGUAAAGCGUGCGCAGGCGGUUUUGUAAGACAGAUGUGAAAUCCCCGGGCUCAACCUGGGACCUGCAUUUGUGACUGCAAAGCUAGAGUACGGCAGAGGGGGAUGGAAUUCCGCGUGUAGCAGUGAAAUGCGUAGAUAUGCGGAGGAACACCGAUGGCGAAGGCAAUCCCCUGGGCCUGUACUGACGCUCAUGCACGAAAGCGUGGGGAGCAAACAGGAUUAGAUACCCUGGUAGUCCACGCCCUAAACGAUGUCAACUGGUUGUUGGGUCUUCACUGACUCAGUAACGAAGCUAACGCGUGAAGUUGACCGCCUGGGGAGUAC
rnacentral:rRNA from 1 species